UUAAUAUUAACACAGCCAAUUGAAGCCUUCUGGCACCAAUAUAGAGAAGGAGGAAUCCAGUACUGGAUAGAACAUUUCAAGGGACUUGAACGUGAUGGUAAAUGGAAUGCAAAUAACAUUAUACAUGAGCUUUCCUUACUGUAUGUUUAUAUGCCCAUACUUGAAGAAGAGUUAGUGAAUAUUAAAGAAGACUGGAAUGGGCAUAAAAUAAGGCUACAGAAACGCACAGAUAGGCCAAAUGGAAUCCCAAAUGAGCUUUUUGACUUCCCUGAACUAAAAGGUAUUUUCCUGUAUAGUUGAGUAAUACCAAAAAACCCUUAAAUUUACACAGUCACAUUGCUAGCACAUUUCAAUGUGUUAUUCCAAAAAUUACAAUACAUGAUGCGUCACUGAUUAGUUAUUUUUGUUGAUGUAUGUUGUUACUCAUUGAAACACUGAUUCAAAUAAUUGGUCACAUGAAGAUAUCCAUCAAAUGAAUGCUUUGCAUUAUAUGUAAAACAUUUAGUUUUUAAAAUUUGUUGAAAAAAAAUU